AUUGAACGCUGGCGGCAUGCCUUACACAUGCAAGUCGAACGGCAGCACGGGAGCAAUCCUGGUGGCGAGUGGCGAACGGGUGAGUAAUAUAUCGGAACGUGCCCAGUCGUGGGGGAUAACGCAGCGAAAGCUGUGCUAAUACCGCAUACGAUCUACGGAAGAAAGCGGGGGAUCGCAAGAACUCGCGAGAUUGGAGCGGCCGAUAUCAGAUUAGCUAGUGGGUGGGGUAAAGGCUCACCAAGGCGACGAUCUGUAGCUGGUCUGAGAGGACGAGCAGCCACGCUGGAGCGUGGGCACGUGCCAGACUCCUACGGGAGGGAGCAGUGGGGGAUUUUGGACAAGGGGCGAAAGCCUGAUCCCGUAAUGCCGCGUGCAGGAUGGAGGCCUUCGGGUUGUAAACUGCUUUUGUACGGAACGAAACGGUGAGCUCUAAUACAGUUUGCUAAUGACGGUACCGUAAGAAUAAGCACCGGCUAACUACGUGCCAGCCGCCGCCGUAAUAC
rnacentral:rRNA from 1 species